ensembl:lncRNA
CCCAGACAGCAACCACCCACCGGACCCGCUCCUGCCCCGUGCUUGGGGCCCGAAGCCCCAGGAAGCCGUGGGGCCAUGCGGGGACGUCCCCGCGCCGGAAUGGGCAGCGUCUCGCACGGGGACGGGGAACUCGCCCUGCGUCCCGCGGCAGCCCUGGUGCUCGCGGCAGCCUGGGCUCAGUCCUUCCGCGGCAGCUAGCGCCUGGACUUCGCCAUUUCUGCUUCAAACCCUCCAGCAACGGCUGCGCCCGCUUAACGCUUCCCUGCUCCAACUGCUAAGAGCUUCCAAACGUUACGCCGCCAUUUCAGCAGAGCAGCCCAUAUCCAGUUCAGCGGAAGCCGCUUUGGGUCCCCGCGCCGUAGAAGAGGGACAGCGAGCCGCCUGCCGCCUCCCUCCUUGCUUUGGGCGGUGAGCGCGGUAAAGGGACCGCAGCGUCUUCCGUGCCACCAGGGCAGGCGCGGGAGGGGAGCACCUCCGCUCGCCUCCCCUCUCCCGGGGGUCACCGCUGCUCGGACGGGUCACCCCCUUCCCCUGCACAGCCCUCUGCCCGCCCCUCUGCCAGGUCACCUGCUGCUGCCUCCCUUGCCGAGGACCUCUGGCCUCCUUCCGCCCCCGCGGUCCUCUCUCCUUCGCUACCGAGGGGACGACGCCAGCCUCCCGUGGCACUCGCCCUCACCGCUCGCGUUCUCAGUCUUCAGACGAUCACUUCUGCGUGCUUCUCCGAGCGGCUCCUCCGGACGAGGGAAAACACCUCUGCGUAUCUGCAAAGCCACCUCACCGUCCCCCUGCGGCUCUAAGACCUGCAAGGAAAGGACGGGGUCCUCUUUACACCAGUCCUGUCACGCUGCUCUGGCAUUUCCAGCACAGAAAGCACUUUCAAACCCCCGCACGUCUGGGACCGAACUCAGUCUCUGACACAGGAGACCGCCGGCGGAAAACCCACGGCGGGGGGCUGCGUUUGCUCUGCCUCGCCAGCGGCUGGGGCGCGAGCGCAUCUCUAGGCAGCGCGUUGUGAACGGCGCUGGGAGUCUGUGCAGAGGCUGGGGCAAAAACCGGGCGAGCGGGAGGGGAAACGCUGUUCUUCAAAUAGACACCGACCCUCUGCCAGACACAGGUCCCCUCCCCUUCAUCGCUCCACCAGACCCCUGAGUCCCAGGCCACAUCUCCAGCCCUGAGCUCUCCCAGCUCUGCUCUUCUCCCCCCGGGGCAGCUCCAACCUCCUGCGCGCUCCCUAAGCCGGGCUCUAAAGCGUCGGCUCUAGGCACAACAGGCACAUUAGCACCGAGCCCUGCCAGCUGCAGCGGCCAGUGCUGCUGUCUGGGCCUAAGAGGUGGAGACGACGUGCCUCUGUCCAGAAGCAUCCUCACGAUAAAAUCAGAAGAUGCUGUCAACAAGGCGCAGAGCCAGCGGAGCUGAAUAAUUUCCUGCAUUUGGCAGCUCCAGCGUCUGCCAUGAAUAAUAAGGCUGAGCUUGGUGCAAUGUUUUGCUUCGUUCUGAUGGCCCCCCUCUGCCUUGCAUUUGCAAUCGGUCACGUCAUUCUCCAUUUCUCCCUGGCCCUGUGGCACUGCGUGAACUGACAGCACGGCUUCAUGUGCAAGCUGCAUCCUUGGAUGAGUCGCGAGAAGUUGUUGUUAAUUGCAUGCCUUCUAUCCACAGGUACCUGGAAUUAAAUCUCCAGAUGGAAGCAGUGAGCUAACUGCUCAUCGAUUGCUCUGUCAGCAAACGCCGAGAUGGUCCUGAAAUACAAGGUGCUAAAGAGAAGGGAAUGGUUAUCUGUCCAACGGAGAGACAAGACUCUGAGGAAGAAGAAAUCACUACUGACGCAACACGCAGCUGUGCUGAGCACGCGGCGGCUCCUGUGUGCCUGCUCYUUCCCACAGAAGCAGGGGAGCGGCUCUGCAUUUUUACAUUUUUAAUGUAGACAGAAGCCGACGCACAAACUCGAACCCAGGGCCUUGAGCAACCCUUCUGCCAACCCUGCCAGGCUCAGGUGAACUUCAGUGGGGAGAAAACAUAUUUUCGCUCUCCAUUAGACCUCUGCUAAAUUAAAUUACCCUGGAAUCCCUUCUUUUUAAUGAAUUAUAUUUUAAGCAAGCGAAGUAGAAUAAAUGAUCAGGAAAGGAAAUGCA